CAGUAGCCGCGGUAAAACGUAGGUGGCAAGCGUUGUCCGGAAUUAUUGGGCGUAAAGCGCGCGCAGGUGGUUUAAUAAGUCUGAUGUGAAAGCCCACGGCUCAACCGUGGAGGAUCAUUGGAAACUGUUAAACUUGAGUGCAGGAGAGAAAAGUGGAAUUCCUAGUGUAGCGGUGAAAUGCGUAGAGAUUAGGAGGAACACCGGUGGCGAAGGCGGCUUUUUGGCCUGUAACUGACACUGAGGCGCGAAAGCGUGGGGAGCAAACAGGAUUAGAUACCCCAGUAGUCCCUGUCUCUUAUAC
rnacentral:rRNA from 1 species